rnacentral:lncRNA from 1 species
GAGAGAACAGCAGAAGGAGAUCAGCUUGGAGUCCCAUCAGAAGUCUGAAUGAAGUCCUGAGGGAAUCCAAGGUACCAACCCUCAGAUUGGUUCACCACAAACUGUAUCUGCACAUGAAGCACAUGGGGUCGAAUCAGAGCUGCAGCUGCAGGCCAAUACCACAGCCACAGCAAUGCCAUAUUGAAGCCACAUCUGUGAUCUGCACCACAUCUUGCAGAAUGCUGGAUCCUUAACCCACUGAGUGAGGCCAGAGAUCAAACCUGCAUCCUCAUGGACACUAUGUCAGGAAUGAGUCAGAAAUCAGGGAAAAAUGCUGUAUUACUAAGGAGGAGCUAUUGUAAAAUCUGAAGACAAUUCAUCUACAUAACUAAAGGUGUGAAGUAAAUAUUGGACUUACAAGGUGAAGAAGGCAGGCAAAGUUCCAUAGGUCUAAAACAUAUAGUGGGAGAAUCUCCUUACAGAUCUUAAAUUCUAAUGGUGGGAUGCAUAUAAUAAACAAAUAGAUUAAUAGUAACAACAAAUAACAAUUCAUUUGUUCAAGUUCAAGAAAUACUUGAGUUCCCCUUAGAUCAAUGAACAAAACAGACACAAAUUUCUAUCUUACAGAGCUUGCAUUCUAGCAAUAAUUACCUAACAUAUAAGUAAAUUUUAGAAACUUUAAGUGCUAUGGAAAUCAGUUGGUCAGAGUAAAGUGAUUACAUGUCAGAAAACUAACCUGCAUGUUUGGGGUGAAAGAAAAAAGGUUAACCUUCCUGGGAUCAAAAGAGUACAGAGUCACAAGUGCUUAGGUCUAAAGAGAAAGCAUAGGUCAGAUCAUGCACAGCUGUGCCAACCUGGGUGAGGAAGGCAUAUACAAAAAGAUUACAACUAGAUUUAUAUUUAUAAUCAUAUAAUAUAUUCAUCUUCAAAAUCCAUAUCUAUUAAAUGCAUUCCACAUUUCUGAGUUUAACCAUAUGCAUUUGCACAUUAGCUUGUGUUUCUGAAAACACUCACUAAUAACACAAAAGAGUAGGUUCUGCCUUCACUUAGGCACUUGCCUGAGUUUUUUAUAUGUUUGGUUGAUUUCUCUAGAUCAGUGUUCCAAAUGAAACAUUAGGAGCAUGCUCAGUUGAUAUGUUACACCACAGGAUCGUCAGGGGGAGCAAAAUUAAAGAUGUGGGAAGUUAUACAUGGAAUAGGUAAUCAAGUCGCAUUGUUUCCAAAAUGGGGAAACAGCAACAGAGAGUGGGCAAGUUACAAAAAUGUCAAGAAAAUAUCAGGACAGUUGAUAAGUACACAUCCAAAAUAUUGGGUGUAUUUGAAAGGUAACUGCUUUUAUGUUUAAUCAUGUCAUUCCUUUCAUCUCCAUAUGAAUACUUUACAUUUUUGUAACCCCUUUAUUUAACUAGAAUAGAAUCAAUAAAUAAGAAAAUCUAAUCAAGUUUGUAUUUUUAUCCCUCCUAAUGUUUAUAACUUAAGAUCCAAAGGGGGCUCACAGUAUACCUGCCUUCAGAGACAUCUAUUCUCUUCAAGCAAUAGUCUAUACAGAUUGACAAUGAGUUCCCAUCUACAGUCUCUUUUAAGUCUGUUGCUCUCUUCAAGCUACCCUGUCAAUCCUAGGAGCACAUGGUCUAUUCUAGGUAUAAAUAAGUGAACUUGGACAAUCAAGCUGCAGAGGGUCUCUUUCUAAGGUCAGUUCUCCACUUCUUUGAGCUCUCCCCAAGUGCCAGCAGCACUAGUAAACAGGCAUAACUCCUAUUUUUCCUUAAAAUUCUUUACUCUCUAUCUGGAUCUAACCUUGAAUGAUUUUGUUCUUCUUCUGGGAAUUAGCUUGAGAAAAAGAGACCCAACACUCAUUGUUUCUCUUUUGCAUCUCUCUACACCUCAGAGAAUCCUUUUCCUUUUUCUAGCCUCAGGAAUGAGAACUGCUCAUCUGUCUCUUUCUCCAGGUCUACUGUCUGUUCUGAAUAUUUACCUUUUCCAGGAUAGCUUAGCUUUGAAAAUUUUAAAAACUUGAAAAUAUAUAUAUUUUUGGUGUUUGUGUGGGGGGCUGUUUUUUAUAUCCUUUCCUUGAGGUAAAAUACUUGGGUUAACAGAGCUGACAACUGGUUUGGUAUUGGUGAAGAAGUGUGGAAUCAAAACUCCUGGGUCUAAAAAUCACAUACAAUGUAAGGAAAAAAAAAAAAUGAGUUAAUAUUUAAAAAAAAUUUUGUCACAUCAAUGUAUAAUAUGGUAAGAUGAGAUCCUAGACAAGGACCUAGUAUGGAAAAGAUGUGUCAUAAAAGCAAGUCACAUUUGCAAAGAAUUAAAGUACAUAUUUGCAUGUUAUUUAAAUAAAUCAUAAAUUUUACCUGUAAACUACAGCAAACAUAGAAACAUUUUUCAUAAAAAUUUUAAAGAAAAACUACCACUGAAAUGUAUCAAAUUCUUAGGACAAAGCAUAACCAAAGAUAACUAAAUUUUUAAAAACUGAAACUGAAAAUUAAUAUUUUAUUUAUUUUAAGGUAUAAAAAUAGCUCUUUUUUUUCAGGUUGCCAUUCAUUUCAGUGUAAUCUUAUAUAGUACUUUAAAAGAAAUCUUAUUAAACAUAAUUUUUAUUUGAGUCACCUCUGGUAGAAGUGAUAUUUUGAGAAUAAAGCUAGUAUGUUUACGUUGAAAGAUAAAUUUAGUUUUAGAUCUUGGAGGCUGUAAAUUUUAUAGAAUUUUUUUAUAAAGUGCAUCUGACUAUAAAGACUCCCUAUUAGAGAAUUUUUCUUAUUUGAUUUUUACUCUCCUUUAGCUUAUGCUCUGCAACAAAACAGUAUCGAAAGUCUUUUGUAUACAAUCUAGUUAGAUGUGUGUCUUUAAUCUUAUAAAAACAUUUAAAAUGAGUAAAGGAACUAAUUAAAAAUAAAUAUAUAGAGAGAGGAAGGAUAUGAAGUUCCCUGCUAAGUAUAAUUGAUGCCAGAAGUAUAAUUUGAAAGGUCAAAAAGCACUUUAAAACUGUUGAAUCAAGUACAGAGCAAAUGAUCUCAUAUAAUUAUAUGUAGCAAAAUGGCAUAUUCCUUGUAUUGUUAUAUUAAAAUCCAUAUUUUCCUAUGCAAAACUCUAUUAUCUUCCAAUUUUUCUAUAAAUCUAAAAUUGUUCUAAAGAUUAAGCUCCAUUAAAUUUUUAAAAAUU